CCUAGAUUCAUGAUAACAUGUAGUACAGUGUAACCUAGAUUCAUGAUAACAUGCAGUACAGUGUAACCUAGAUUCAUGAUAACAUGUAGUACAGUGUAACCUAGAUUCAUGAUAACAUGCAGUACAGUGUAACCUAGAUUCAUGAUAACAUGUAGUACAGUGUAACCUAGAUUCAUGAUAACAUGCAGUACAGUGUAACCUAGAUUCAUGAUAACAUGUAGUACAGUGUAACCUAGAUUUCAUUUUCAAAUGUAAACCCCAUGCCAUUUAUCCAAUAGAAAUGAUCUUAGGAAAGUUCCUGUUGCUGUUUCUUCUUUUCCAGCAGUUCUAACUCCCACAAGCUUCUGGAACUCCCCUGUCCAUCGAUCAGAUUACAAAAUUACACUUCGGAAUGCCAAUCUUUCACGCAGACUUGGCUCAAUAACAAUUCAGUGGGCGUCCUCCGAUCCCAAGCCCAAGCCAGCUUCCUUUUUCACCCAGAAACUCGAGAGUGAAUGUCAGCGAGCUACCGAACUCUGGAGGACAAAGGCCAGCCAUGCAGGUGUCCACUCUGAGCUAACCUGGCGCCUGGCCAGCAGAAUUUGCUAUAGAGCGAUGAGGAGAAACAGUCCCUGCCGGUUUUACCUCCCUAACCCACGGGAGCGCCAGAGCUAAUGCGACCCUCCCUUUAGAGUCCCCAGCGAAGACUGGCCUACUUUGCACAGCCAGGACCCGAACCUGAGCUGUACGACUCACCCAACGCACCACAUGGCUGCGCUUCUUCUGCCAGAUAAUCUGCAUUCUGCUGCAACACCGCUGUACUGUCCAGUUCUCCGGAUUAAGAUCGCCUUCUGCUUUGUAACGGUUAACAACGUCACUGUCGUUUUAAAAAGAAGUUUAGACAAAUAAUACAAACAUGAAAAUGCAAAGCAAUAACUGCACAAAUUGUACCAUUGCACAAAAUAGUACCUUUUCUUACCAGCUUUAAUAUUUUUAUAGCAAAUGAUGGGGGUGGUUACU